rnacentral:lncRNA from 1 species
GCUAGAACUGGACACCUCGGGGGUUUCCUGCUUUAUGGCGAAGGACGGAGUUUUGCUCUUGUUGCCCAAGCUGGAGUGCAAUGGUGCGAUCUUCGCUUACUGCAACCUCUGCUUCCUGGGUUCAAGUGAUUCCCCUGCCUCAGCCUCCCGAGUAGCAGGGAUUACAGAUGGAGCCUCGCUCUGUCACCCAGGCUGGAGUGCAGUGGCACAAUCUCGGGUCACUGCAACCUCCGCCCCCCAGCUUCAAGCGAUUCUCCUGUCUCAGCCUCCCGAGUAGCUAGGAUUACAGGUGCACGCCACCAGGCCUGGCUAAUUUUUAUAUUUUUAGUAGAGAUGGGAUUUUGCCUUGUUGGCCAGGCUGGUCUCAAACUCCUGACCUCAGGUGACCCAUCCACCUUGGCCUCCCAAAGUGCUGGGACUACAGGUGUGAGCCACCAUGCCUGGUCCCCCACUUGUUGAUUUUGCAGAAAAGAUAGCUGUGUUACAACCUGUCCUAAGGUCAGGUAUGAAUACUUGUGCUUCUUUCUUGGCUCCCCAAGCCAGAGGGCAUUCCUAUGCCCAGGUGAGAGAGCACGGAGUGUUACUUUGGCAGCACAGUCAGUUACCAGAGGUAGGAAAAGCAAAGGCCAGGCAGGACAUGAGGGGCCCUUGCACUGGCUGGUUCUCCCUGCCUUCACCACCCUCCAGGUGAAUGACUGGGUGAAUAAUGAUUGACUGAGGAGGUAAUGAAUAAUUUAUGGACACUGCUGGACCUCAGUCUCCUCAUCUGAAAGAUGAGUGGUUGGAGAAGUUUAAUGGUUUUCAAAUGCUUUUUUUUUCAGUCUUCAAAUAAGUGUUUACGUAGAAGCACCAUAUCUGAAACAGGUGACAGUGGACCAGUCUGAAUGAAAUGAGGGUUGGCAGGCCUGAGCUCCAAAACCUUCUGAUUGCCCAAGCCCUCCUUGUCUUGCUUGGAUUAUCUCCACACAAAUGGAGAAACUGGACAAGGUGGUCAUGGAGGUCCCUGAAAGCUCAAAGACUUUCUCAUUCCAGGAUUCCCCAUGUUCAUAUGCCAGCAUGGCAUGGGGGUGCUCUGUAGUCAAGCAGGGUCCUUUGGGGGGCUUAGGGAUGGAGCCAGGAAAUGGCUCUGGGACUCAGCGGGUGUCCAGAGUCUCAUCAGCAGGGUUUCUUUACUUUCACUGAGUGGCUGGUGCCUGCACACUGAGUUUUGCAGGCUUACUCUCACAGAGUGAGCUUCCUGCAGGCCCCCCACUGCAACCCCUUUCCUUCCUGGAGCUGUGUGCUGACUGGUGCGUGAGCACCCCAGGCCCUCUCCCCAUGCUGCUGAUGGUCAGCUUUCUCUGCACGCUCGUGGUUGCCACAGUCAACGCUGAUAAAAUUGCUGAUGCAGAUUGCCUGCCCAGCUGCGAGUGCUGGCACGGGACCAGCAGCCCAGACGGUCACUGGAAGUGGUUGGGCUGAUUAUUGGCAUCAUCUCCAUUGUCCUACUCGGUUCUUAAAGGCAUAUGGACUUGCCUCACUCCUACAGCAAAUGACGGCAUGGGCAAAGAGGGGCAACAGACCCACCCUGAAGACACUCCUCAUCUGGUUGACUUGGCAGGGUUAAGGGAAAAAGAUGUGAUGACUAGGAGCUGAGAGCUUAGUGGUUCUGCCAGAGCUGCAGAGUCUUUGUUGGCCUCAGGGUGGGACCUCUCACAUCUCUGUCAGCUUUUCACGGACACCAACCUGUUAUGAUUCAUUUCACCUGUCCUGAGCACUAGCAAGAAAAAUUCGCUGUAGCUUGUGAUGUAUUAUUCUGGAUUUCUCAACUCAUUCAUUUGUUCAUUCAUUCACUAUACCAUUACUGUCUAUUAUAAGGGGGGCACAAUGGUAGGUGCUGGGAAUAAAAACGAUGUUUAACGUUUCAUGAGGCUUCCCUGUCCUUAAGGAGUCCGCGUGUCUUUGUACCUGUCUGUCUGCUAGAUUAUUAAGUGACACUGUGAGAAGCUACUGAGAGCAGCAUGUGGGACAUGCAGAAGGGCAAGAGGCAGGAGAGAUGAUUCAUGUCGGAGGGGCAGGGGAGGACUGACGGAGAGGGUGAUGUUUGGCUGAGUCAUGAAGGCUAGUGGUAUUUUUCCAUGCAGAGAAGUGGGAGGAAAGGCAUUCUGUGUGGAGGGCACACAGUGUGCAAGGGCAGAGAGGUCAUUAUGUGAAGGCUUUGUGCUACUGCUUCAGAGUUGUGGAACGUGAUGUUGCAAUCUGGGAAAGACGCUGAUGGCAAGGGAUAGCAUCAUCAGGUUGUGCUGCCAUCCCUGAAAGGCCCAGGCUCAAAGGUUUUGGGUGAAGGAAGCCAGGAGGGUUAGAAAGGGAGGAAGAUGCCAGGGCAUCUGGUAAAAUAAAGCAUGUGUCAG